AGCGAACGCUGGCGGCAGGCCUAACACAUGCAAGUCGAACGGACCCUUCGGGGUUAGUGGCGGACGGGUGAGUAACACGUGGGAACGUGCCUUUAGGUUCGGAAUAGCUCCUGGAAACGGGUGGUAAUGCCGCAUGUGCCCUUCGGGGGCAAGAUUUAUCGCCUUUAGAGCUGCCCGCGUCUGAUUAGCUAGUUGGUGAGGUAAUGGCUCACAAAGGCGACGAUCAGUAGCUGGUCUGAGAGGAUGACCAGCCACAUUGGGACUGAGACACGGCCCAAACUCCUACGGGAGGAAGCAGUGGGGAAUCUUGCGCAAUGGGCGAAAGCCUGACGAAGCAAUGCCGCGUGGAUGAUGAAGGUCUUAGGAUUGUAAAAUCCUUUCACCGGUGAAGAUAAUGACUGUAGCCGGAGAAGAAGCCCCGGCUAACUUCGUGCCAGCCGCCGCCGUAACAC
rnacentral:rRNA from 1 species